GACAGAGGGGGCAAGCGUUGCUCGGAAUCACUGGGCGUAAAGGGCGCGUAGGCGGUCAGCACAAGUCAGUUGUGAAAUCUCCGGGCUUAACUCGGAAAGGUCAACUGAUACUGUGCGGCUAGAGUGCGGAAGGGGCAACUGGAAUUCUUGGUGUAGCGGUGAAAUGCGUAGAUAUCAAGAGGAACACCUGCGGCGAAGGCGGGUUGCUGGGCCGACACUGACGCUGAGGCGCGAAAGCCAGGGGAGCGAACGGG
rnacentral:rRNA from 1 species